GGUGGUUCUCCGGUGACAUGCCCCAGAAUUGGGCUCCUUCCUCUCUGGUUCUGGGUGUGUCACCCAAGAACUGAA
rfam:Myotis brandtii contig199997, whole genome shotgun sequence.